GGCGACGUGGCCAAGUGGUUAAGGCGGCGGUCUGCAAAACCGCUAUUCACCGGUUCGAAUCCGGUCGUCGCCUCCA
rnacentral:tRNA from 1 species